AACCUGGCGGCGUGCUUACACAUGCAAGUCCAACGGAGCUUAUUUGGAAAGCUUGCUUUUCGCUUAAGCUUAGUGGCGGACGGGUGAGUAACGCGUGAGCAACCUGCCCUAGAGUGGGGAAUAACACCGAGAAAUCGGUGCUAAUACCGCAUAAUGUCGGAGGACCGCAUGAUCCACCGACCAAAGGAUUUAUUCGCUUUAGGAUGGGCUCGCGUCCGAUUAGGCAGUUGGCGGGGUAACGGCCCACCAAACCGACGAUCGGUAGCCGAACUGAGAGGUUGAUCGGCCACAUUGGGACUGAGACACGGCCCAGACUCCUACGGGAGGCAGCAGUGGGGAAUAUUGGGCAAUGGGCGAAAGCCUGACCCAGCAACGCCGCGUGAAGGAUGAAGGUCUUCGGAUUGUAAACUUCUUUGAUUGGGGAAGAAAAAAAUGACCUACCCAAAGAACAAGUCACGGCUAACUACGUGCCAGCAGCCGCGGUAAU
rnacentral:rRNA from 1 species